GGGCCGGUAAUUCAACCUGGCUAGAAUGCUCGGCUGGCAGUCGAGAUGCUCCGCGUUCAAAUCGCGGCCGGUCCA
rnacentral:tRNA from 1 species